AGUCGUAACAAGGUUUCCGUAGGUGAACCUGCGGAAGGAUCAUUACCGAGUGAGGGUCCCUCGGGGCCCAACCUCCCAUCCGUGUUGUCCUGACACCUGUUGCUUCGGCGGGCCCGCCGUGGUUCACGCCCCGGCCGCCGGGGGGUUCACGCCCCCGGGCCCGCGCCCGCCGAAGACCCCUGGAACGCUGCCUGGAAGGUUGCCGUCUGAGUAUACAAUCAAUCAAUUAAAACUUUCAACAACGGAUCUCUUGGUUCCGGCAUCGAUGAAGAACGCAGCGAAAUGCGAUAAGUAAUGUGAAUUGCAGAAUUCCGUGAAUCAUCGAAUCUUUGAACGCACAUUGCGCCCCCUGGCAUUCCGGGGGGCAUGCCUGUCCGAGCGUCAUUGCUAACCCUCCAGCCCGGCUGGUGUGUUGGGCCGCCGUCCCCCCUCCCCGGGGGACGGGCCCGAAAGGCAGCGGCGGCGUCGCGUCCGGUCCUCGAGCGUAUGGGGCUCUGUCACACGCUUCAGUAGAACCGGCCGGCUUGCUGGCCAUCACCUAUAUUUUUCUCUUAGGUUGACCUCGGAUCAGGUAGGGAUACCCGCUGAACCUAAGCAUAUCA
rnacentral:misc_RNA from 1 species